UACGGAGGGUGCAAGCGUUAUCCGGAUUCACUGGGUUUAAAGGGUGCGUAGGCGGUCCGGUAAGUCCGCUGUGAAAGUCGGGGGCUCAACCCUCGAAUGCCGGUGGAUACUGUCGGGCUAGAGUACGGAAGAGGUGAGUGGAAUUCCUGGUGUAGCGGUGAAAUGCGCAGAUAUCAGGAGGAACACCAAUGGCGAAGGCAGCUCACUGGGACGGUAUUGACGCUGAGACGCGAAAGCGUGGGGAGCAAACAGG
rnacentral:rRNA from 1 species